rnacentral:rRNA from 1 species
UACGAAGGGGGCUAGCGUUGCUCGGAAUCACUGGGCGUAAAGUGCACGUAGGCGGCUUACUAAGUCAGGGGUGAAAUCCUGGAGCUCAACUCCAGAACUGCCUUUGAUACUGGUGAGCUUGAGUCCGGAAGAGGUGAGUGGAACUGCGAGUGUAGAGGUGAAAUUCGUAGAUAUUCGGAAGAACACCAGUGGCGAAGGCGACUUACUGGACACAUAUUGACGCUGAGGUGCGAAAGCGUGGGGAGCGAACAGG